GGGGGGGGGGAGAGAGAGAACGAAGAAGGACAUACUGAUGGCAAUGAAAACUCCCCCCAAAAUCCCCUAAUCCCACUACACCCUAAGUCCAUUACACUCUAAAUUUAUUACACCCCACUCCCACCAAAAAAUAAAUCACAAAAGUACAAACAUAAGAGCUUUGAGUAUUCCUUCGAGAAUCCAUCUUCAAAACUUCUGAAGUCUCAAACUCUCGGAGCAAGCGGUCCGGAGAUAUCACCAACACUGUCAAAGAAAAAGAGCAAAAAAAUCAGCUUUCGAAGGUUGGUCCUCCUAAACAAAACAUCUUCUCGAUUUUCAAAUAUUUAUAUAACACUCCUAUCUAUGUUUCCAUUUGUAUCGCUCAUGUCAUAAACCCUUUUUUAAUCUAAUGAUCAUUAAAACUAAAUGAUCCAAAGAGCUCGCCAAAACAGUAAUAAUUAAAAAAAACAAAGACUGUUUUCACCAAAUAAAAAUUCACAGGAAAACAUGAUUAAAAGGGUUCAAUUGAGCGAUUUCGAGCCAUUUUAACACCAUCAACAUCAAGACUCAAUACCGUACAAAGACUUAACAUGUGGCACUACAAUCAAGCAAAAUAUGGGCAUUUUCUCCGAAUAACUAUUGCUGGAAUUUUAUUAAAACUAACAAAGUGAUCAAAUUUUUCAAGCAAAUAAGCCAUUUUAUGGUGUUUAGAGUAGUACCGAAUUCGGUUCAAUAACAGGACAGUCAAGUUUUCAUCUUUGAAUCUACAUAUUUUAAUCUUAACGAC
rnacentral:lncRNA from 1 species